rnacentral:lncRNA from 1 species
UGGUCUUCAGGAUUUUCUGGGAAGGAAGUUCCCCGGAUCAGAGAUUCUCAAAGCUGAUCCCUGAGCCAGCAUCAUCCGUGACACCUGAGAAAGGAUCAGAAGCCCUGAUGUCCUGGGAAAAGCAGAGGCUGGCCAUACAUGCCUCAGUGGUAGCACACGUGCCUGGAUAUUGGCUCUAACGGAGUUGGAGCCUAGUACCUUAGCAAGUAGUUAUAUGCAAUGCUCACUUUGGGGGACAACAAUGCUUAAUAAGUCACCUUCUGUCUUGUUAGGGUUUUAGCGUUGUGAAGAGACACAUGGUGCUGGAGAUGGAGCUGAGAGUUCUGCAUCUUGACCUACAGGCAGCCAUGAGGAGACUGGCUCAGCACUGGGCAUAUCUGGAGCGUAUAUAUGAGACCUCAAGCCCACCCACGGUGACACUUCCUCCAACAAGGCCAUACUUUCUAAUAGUGCCAUUCCUUAUGAAAGAUGUUUAUACCCAGUGACAGCCACUACCCAGCCACCAGCGCAGGGCCUGAAAGCUGAGCCUACACUGGGAACUAUUUACUGUCAGCUGCUCUCUGUCAGCAGGCUCCGGAGCCACAGGGACUCUAAGGAAGCAAAGAUUGAGAGCCAGCUGAAGAGGAGAGAGAGGCUGCAGAGGAUACCUGAACCGGGGAGCUGGUUGGGUUCCCACAGGGCACUGCGAGGCGUUGCCUGGUGUUGGAGAACGAGCUGGCCCCUGGCUGAUCUUAAACAGCGCGGCUGAGGGCCAUAGCGAGGGUACUGUGUAAGCCAUGAAGCUUUGGGUCAUCGGCACCGCCAGUUCCCUGUGCUUCUAGCUCUGCAUGAAACCAAGGGCCAUAAAGAGGCGGCAGGAGUCCCUAAGGAGAAGGAGGAACUGCAGCUGAGGGGGCCAUGCAGGACACAGGGAGGACUGGCAAGAGAUCAAGACUGAGCUGGCCAAGACUGUACAUGGAAGAAUCCAACGCCAGCCAGAAGCUCACAGAGGAAGCGCUGUAGGUGAUUGGGCAAAUAGCUUAUCUGUGACUGGAUUCAUUCCAGAGGCAAACUGGGCUUAGCUGAAGGUUCACCUGUAGGGGACAGUGGUGGCAGUAUCACAGAGAGCAUCAAGGCCAUGAAACAAACCAAGCACAUUCCAGAAAAGCGGGCUGAUCAUUUUGACCUUCACACCUGCAGAGACUGUACGAUUAACACGAAGGACUCCCUCAGGGUCUCAUAGACCUAGGCUGGUCCAGGUGGGGACUGUGGCGAUGCCAGGAAAGGAAGAAAAGGUGUGAGAUGGGGAGAAGAUAAGAAGAGGGCUGCAGGAGUGAAGGCUGGGGCUAGCCCCAGCUCCCAAGUAUGCUGGCGACUCCAUGUGUCUGCUUCCUUCUGCUGCUCAGCUGCUGUAGCAAUGACAAUGACAGUUAUGGCUUCGAGAUAUUCUUAGCUGUAAGUCUAAUGUUUCAUCUGGAAUAAAUAUCAAACUUGGAUUAAGACAA